CAGCAAAUCAGAACAAACACAAUUGUUAGCCAGCGGGCUAUUCAGCCUUUUACCAUCUAGGCCCCAAACGACGCUCAACGCACUGGUACAGGUUGGUAAAAUUACCGCACCUUCUAAACCAGCAGAUACGGGACAUCAAUAUAUACAUAUUCCCAUCCAGCCCAGGAUGGCAAAGGCCAAAGGGUGAUGCAGGCAGGCUUGUCCCAGCACUGCCCGAUGCGUGGCGUUCCCUGGACGAGCAGCUGUGCUGCCAACCGAAGCCUUCUGGAAAAGCUUAGCCGCCUAAACAGAAGAAACGAACGCACUGUACCGGAGGACC
rnacentral:sRNA from 1 species